UACAGAGGGUGCGAGCGUUGUCCGGAAUCACUGGGCGUAAAGGGCGCGUAGGCGGUGGCUUAAGCGUGUGGUGAAAGCUCAGGGCUCAACCCUGAGUCGGCCGUGCGAACUGGGUCACUGGAGCAUGUCAGAGGCAGGCGGAAUUCCGGGUGUAGCGGUGGAAUGCGUAGAGAUCCGGAAGAACACCGGUGGCGAAGGCGGCCUGCUGGGACAUCGCUGACGCUGAGGCGCGACAGCGUGGGGAGCAAACAGG
rnacentral:rRNA from 1 species